rfam:Pteropus alecto contig104238, whole genome shotgun sequence.
ACAAAGGCUCUUUUCAGAGCCACUCACCCUGUCAGAAAGCUGGCA